CUCACUUGAAUACCCAACCGCCCCAAGCCCAAAACUCACUGCCCCAAGACCCGACCAAAUUCUCUUCUUCCUCCCUUGACCCGUGUAAUCACAGAAUAACAAUGGCAAAAUCCGAUUCCAGCAACCUCAACACGUACAAACAACACCAACGACGUCAAUGACCAGUGUAAUCCAAACAAUGCCUUAAAAUUCCAAGAAGCAUGUGAUUAUAACACGUUUUUGUACGAAUCCAAAUUCUGAGGUUUCUAGAAUUUGCCCAGGUGGCAUUCAACAGGAUUUUCCCUUCAAUUAUUCAAAAUUCCUUGUAUCAAUUCGUACAAGUUGUGCUGGCAAACCUUAUCUCUUUUUGAAAAUACCUAAAUCUCCCCCCAAAUUACUCUUCCCACAUUGACAAAAAGUAAAAUCAAUUCCCAAAAUCGUUUUCUAUAUAUACUUCUAUUGGUUUUAUUGAACAAGGUUAGAGGUCCGAUAGCGGGAACCCCGAAAAGCGUAAAAUUUUGCGAUCGAAUAAAAUUUUAGUGCUAAGAAAUUUGAUAAGACUCAUUUGAGCUCAAAAUUCUAAGCUGAGGAUCGAGUUCAUUUUCCAGUAGUGGUGCGAAGAAAAUCUGUCGAAGCUAGUAAGUUCCGAGUUGCUACUCUUGAAAAGGCCCGAGUCAUCGAGUCCGCGAUCCUUCCAAGUUCAAAAAUGAACUGAAAUAAAGAAUAUCAAGGUUGUAUACAAAGAUAUACAAUAUAUAAAUGCCACAUACAGGCCUUGGAAGCUAAUAUACAUGCUCAAAAAGAGCAAAAUGGGAGAAGGAAGGUGGUACACAAAUUUGCAAGUUGGUAUACAAAUUGUAUACAACCAAAAUGUGGAAGAGAAAGACUGUGAUAUACAGUCAAUAUACAUAGCUGAAAGGGCUGAAAAAUCCAUAAAAAUAGGCCCAAAAAUUGGGCAGAUUCCAAUGGGCCAAGUCAGGGGCCCAAAUCUUAAAUUUUUCCUUUUUAGCUUAUUUGUAUCUUCCUAUUUGGUUACUUGUUUGUAAUGAACUUUUAAAUUUGAUUAAAUCAAAUUAAAUCCCUUUUGAAUUGUCA